GGAUAACUGUGGUAAUUCUAGAGCUAAUACAUGCAAACAGAGCUCCGACCGGAGACGGAAGGAGUGCUUUUAUUAGAUCAAAACCAAUCGGUGGCGGGUUCGCGCUCGUUAUCGUACAACUUGGUGACUCUGAAUAACUUUACGCUGAUCGCACGGUCAUCGCACCGGCGACGCAUCUUUCAAAUGUCUGCCUUAUCAACUGUCGAUGGUAGGUUCUGCGCCUACCAUGGUUGUAACGGGUAACGGGGAAUCAGGGUUCGAUUCCGGAGAGGGAGCCUGAGAAACGGCUACCACAUCCAAGGAAGGCAGCAGGCGCGCAAAUUACCCACUCCCGGCACGGGGAGGUAGUGACGAAAAAUAACGAUACGGGACUCAUCCGAGGCCCCGUAAUCGGAAUGAGUACACUCUAAACCCUUUAACGAGGAUCAAUUGGAGGGCAAGUCUGGUGCCAGCAGCCGCGG
rnacentral:rRNA from 1 species